GUAGGUGAACCUGCGGAAGGAUCAUUAAUGAAUAAACUUGGUGGAUUGUCGCUGGCUCUCUAGGGAGCAUGUGCACGUCUGUCAUCUUUAUCUUUCCACCUGUGCACCUUUUGUAGACCUGGAGAAAAAACUGCUCUGAGGAAACUCAGGUUUGAGGAGUUGUAGGCUUUCGCGAGUCAGCUCUCCUUGAAGUAUCCAGGCCUAUGUUUUUUCACAUACACCAAUGAAAUGUAACAGAAUGUAAUCAAAU
rnacentral:misc_RNA from 1 species